GUAAAAUUAUACUAUGUUCUUUUGCAAGUUCUACCUACCUACAAUCAUAUUUGUUUUCAGAUUCUCCCAAUUGUUUUUCUUUUUCCUGAUCACCAUCUUCACUUUACUUGAUGAAAGUGUCUGCCAUGCAUCAAGAGUAUGACACAUAUCAGUUGUUGGCUUUCUAUAAUCAUCUCAACAUUUCUCAAUAAUCCUCCAAUUACUAAUCCUGUAGCUGCAAUGACUGGGGGUAUAGCAGCUUAAAUCACUGAUAACUUCUGGUAUGGUCCCCCCCUCCCUUUUCUCUCCCAACUUCUUGCUCUCUCUCACAGGCAAGCAUAUGACAAAUUGGCAAUUGGAAUGGGAGAUAUUAGGCAGAAUAGUGAUUGGUUUGCGUGUGUGUGCCUGGGUAUUCAUCUUUUAAGAUUUACUGGAAUCCAGUGUUUGAUCUACGGUUCAUUUGUAGCAAUUUUCAUUCUGUGCUGCUGAAUUCCAGAAGCAUACCGAUUUUCCUUUUUUAUUUUAUGAUUCGUGUACUGAUUCAUUAUAAUUUAUUGCCUAAAAUUACUGAAGAUUGUCUCAAAAGUUCAAGACAAAGAAGUUAAUUUGUAUUCCUGCUUGCAUUAUUUUAUUGGUAAUAUUUUAGUACUUGGGAACCUUGAGAAAGCUGCAUGUUUUUGCUGCACUUAUGGACACUUUUGCUUUGAGUUUUGUCAUUUAGACCUCUAUUUGGCUGUUCCAAUCAAACGUAAGAUCAAUUUGGUAAAUUCAAGAUGAGGCAUAUGGGCAGAACUUUUGAUUCCUGGGAACCCUUCAACAGG
rnacentral:misc_RNA from 1 species